rnacentral:rRNA from 1 species
UGGGGAAUAUUGGACAAUGGGCGAAAGCCUGAUCCAGCCAUGCCGCGUGUGUGAAGAAGGUCUUCGGAUUGUAAAGCACUUUAAGUUGGGAGGAAGGGCAGUAAGCUAAUACCUUGCUGUUUUGACGUUACCGACAGAAUAAGCACCGGCUAACUCUGUGCCAGCAGCCGCGGUAAUACAGAGGGUGCAAGCGUUAAUCGGAAUUACUGGGCGUAAAGCGCGCGUAGGUGGUUCGUUAAGUUGGAUGUGAAAGCCCCGGGCUCAACCUGGGAACUGCAUCCAAAACUGGCGAGCUAGAGUACGGUAGAGGGUGGUGGAAUUUCCUGUGUAGCGGUGAAAUGCGUAGAUAUAGGAAGGAACACCAGUGGCGAAGGCGACCACCUGGACUGAUACUGACACUGAGGUGCGAAAGCGUGGGGAGCAAACA